GAUGAACGCUGGCGGCGUGCUUAACACAUGCAAGUCGAACGGAAAGGCCCUGCUUUCGCGGGGUGCUCGAGUGGCGAACGGGUGAGUAACACGUGAGUAACCUGCCUUUGACUUUGGGAUAACUUCAGGAAACUGGGGCUAAUACAGGAUAGGAGCUCCUGCUGCAUGGUGGGCGUCGGACAGUUUGGGCGGUUGGGGAUGGACUUGCGGUUUAUCAGUUUGUUGGUGGAGGAGUUGCUUACGAAGGGUUUGGCGGGUAGCCGGCCUGAGAGGUUGAACGGCCACAUGGGUACUGAGAUAGGGAGCAGAGUCCUACGGGGGGCAGCGGUGGGGAACAUGGCACAAUGGGCGCAAGCGUGAUGCGGAAGCGCCGCGUGCGGGAUGACGGCCUUCUGGUUGUAAACCGCUUUCGGCUGUGACGAAGCGUGAGUGACGGUAAUGGGUAAAGAAGCACCGGCUAACUACGUG
rnacentral:rRNA from 1 species